GACGAGAUUCCCACUGUCCCUACCUACUAUCUAGCGAAACCACAGCCAAGGGAACGGGCUUGGCGGAAUCAGCGGGGAAAGAAGACCCUGUUGAGCUUGACUCUAGUCUGCAACUGUGAAGAGACAUGAGAGGCGUAGGAUAAGUGGGAGGCCCCCGGCCCCCCGCGGGCCCAGGGGCGCCGCCGGUGAAAUACCACUACUCUUAUCGUUUUUUCACUUACCCGGUGAGGCGGGGAGGCGAGCCCCGAGGGGCUCUCGCUUCUGGCUCCAAGCGCCCCGGCGUACCCUCGCCGGGG
rnacentral:rRNA from 1 species